ACUAAACCAAUUAUAGGAUAGUUUGGGGUGGUUGAGCUGUUGUGGGGAGACAUUGAGAUAGAUGUGGAUUCCAUGUGUGUUAAAUUUUGUGUGGAUUGCUUAAGACCAAUGAGAUGAUAAUUAGGUGAAAAUCUUAAGUUGAAGAUCGAUUUUCGAGAAUAAGUGUUUAAUGAGGGGCAUUGCACUAAUCAUUGCAUAGAAGGGAAAAAGCUGCCAUGUUGUGAAGCUACCCUAAAAGAGCCUAAUAAGGAAAAUUAUAAACAUAAAAAGAGAUAGGCUAGUGCAUGAAACAGAAUACGCACGACAAACUUGAAAAAAGCAGGUGCAUGAAACAGAAGACGCACUACAUGCCUUGAUUGAGUCCCAAACACUUAUUUUAGAGAAUUAGACCUUUGAUAUGGGAUUAGUAGCUUAGUUGAUUCUUGGAGGUUGAGUCAGUCAAAAUUAAGGAGAAUCCUCAUUUAUUGAUGUGUUGAGCUACAAUUAGUAAAAUCUAACCAAACUAGAGAGGGUGAGUAAUAGUAUAUAAAUUUAACCAUAAAUCACACCUUGGAAAAAUAGUUACAAAAUCAAGUUUGGGGGUGUGCAUCCCACGAGAGAAGAGAGAAAUAAUUGACCAUUGAGGGUCGGGAUGAGUCCAAUUUGAAAAAAGUAUGUGAUUGAAUUGAUUAUGCACACACGCACAUUGGUCGAGCAUUGGACAAGUUAGACUAUAUUUUGGUAGCAAACCUUAGAAGAAUUUUGAUAAGCAAUUUCAAAUCCUAAGGCAAAUGGGACAAGCUAUUUCAUUGGAACUAUUUUUGAAUUUUUAUUGCUAGAGACUAGCAAUAUCUUGGUUGGGGAGUGUGAUUAGUGUCUAAAAGUUCUUCAAAGAUAUAUCAUUUACAAGGCAUUUUACAUUCACUUUGUUUAAAAACACUAAUGUUAGUCUUUAAUUUCAAUUCUCU
rnacentral:lncRNA from 1 species